UACGAAGGGUGCGAGCGUUGUUCGGAAUUAUUGGGCGUAAAGGGUUCGUAGGCGGGAUUGCAAGUUGGAUGUGAAAAACCUGGGCUUAACCUAGGUCGUGCGUCCAAGACUGCAGUUCUUGAGUAUUGGAGAGGGUGGUGGAAUUGCUGGUGUAGGAGUGACAUCCGUAGAGAUCAGCAGGAACGCCGGAGGCGAAAGCGACUGCCUGGCCAAAGACUGACGCUGAGGAACGAAAGCGUGGGGAGCAAACAGG
rnacentral:rRNA from 1 species